rnacentral:misc_RNA from 1 species
GCAACACCUGGCUAGUUUUCAGGUAACAGGAUAAUCUUUGUACAACAGUGAAGAGCUUCCAGUAAAAGCUGAAGAACUCCAACAUGAAGUAGGAUGAUUUCAAUUUUCUGAUUCUGUUGGAUUGAAACUUUUGAACAUAUUUGACAUUUCACAGACCUAUUCCCUGUUGUGUUUUCGUGUAUUUGUGUUGAUAAUGUGAUAGUCAAUGCUCAUUCUUUGAGCUUUUGCCCUUGCAUUCAUGGAUCAAGGAUGUCAUGCAAUGAUUACUGCUCAAACUGUGAGGGUACUUCAUGUUAGUUGCAUGUUGAUUAUUGUCCUAAGAUAUUGUUUUAAAUUUAAAUUCUAGAACCUCAUAAUUAAGAUAGCUGAUUCUCUUUGGUCAUUAUAGUCAAGAAUUAGGCUCUACUGCUAUAUAUUAUAACAGUAAUAUUCAUGCUUUAGGCAGAUUCCUCCUUGGAGAUGCAAAAUUAUUGUAUUAUUUAUUUAUUUAUUUAUUU